rnacentral:rRNA from 1 species
AGUCUGACGGAGCAACGCCGCGUGAGUGAUGAAGGUUUUCGGAUCGUAAAGCUCUGUUGUUAGGGAAGAACAAGUGCGAGAGUAACUGCUCGCACCUUGACGGUACCUAACCAGAAAGCCACGGCUAACUACGUGCCAGCAGCCGCGGUAAUACGUAGGUGGCAAGCGUUGUCCGGAAUUAUUGGGCGUAAAGGGCUCGCAGGCGGUUUCUUAAGUCUGAUGUGAAAGCCCCCGGCUCAACCGGGGAGGGUCAUUGGAAACUGGGAAACUUGAGUGCAGAAGAGGAGAGUGGAAUUCCACGUGUAGCGGUGAAAUGCGUAGAGAUGUGGAGGAACACCAGUGGCGAAGGCGACUCUCUGGUCUGUAACUGACGCUGAGGAGCGAAAGCGUGGGGAGCGAACAGGAUUAGAUACCCUGGUAGUC